rnacentral:rRNA from 1 species
GGUUAAGCGACUAAGCGUACACGGUGGAUGCCCUGGCAGUCAGAGGCGAUGAAGGACGUGCUAAUCUGCGAAAAGCGUCGGUAAGGUGAUAUGAACCGUUAUAACCGGCGAUGUCCGAAUGGGGAAACCCAGUGCAAUUCGUUGCACUAUCGUUAACUGAAUACAUAGGUUAACGAGGCGAACCGGGGGAACUGAAACAUCUAAGUACCCCGAGGAAAAGAAAUCAACCGAGAUUCCCCCAGUAGCGGCGAGCGAACGGGGAGCAGCCCAGAGUCUGAAUCAGCUUGUGUGUUAGUGGAACGGUCUGGAAAGUCCGACGGUACAGGGUGAUAGUCCCGUACACCAAAAUGCACAGGCUGUGAACUCGAAGAGUAGGGCGGGACACGUGGUAUCCUGUCUGAAUAUGGGGGGACCAUCCUCCAAGGCUAAAUACUCCUGACUGACCGAUAGUGAACCAGUACCGUGAGGGAAAGGCGAAAAGAACCCCGGCGAGGGGAGUGAAAAAGAACCUGAAACCGUGUACGUACAAGCAGUGGGAGCACCUUCGGGUGUGACUGCGUACCUUUUGUAUAAUGGGUCAGCGACUUAUAUUCUGUAGCAAGGUUAACCGUAUAGGGGAGCCGCAGGGAAACCGAGUCUUAACUGGGCGUUAAGUUGCAGGGUAUAGACCCGAAACCCGGUGAUCUAGCCAUGGGCAGGUUGAAGGUUGGGUAACACUAACUGGAGGACCGAACCGACUAAUGUUGAAAAAUUAGCGGAUGACUUGUGGCUGGGGGUGAAAGGCCAAUCAAACCGGGAGAUAGCUGGUUCUCCCCGAAAGCUAUUUAGGUAGCGCCUCGUGAACUCAUCUUCGGGGGUAGAGCACUGUUUCGGCUAGGGGGUCAUCCCGACUUACCAACCCGAUGCAAACUACGAAUACCGAAGAAUGUUAUCACGGGAGACACACGGCGGGUGCUAACGUCCGUCGUGAAGAGGGAAACAACCCAGACCGCCAGCUAAGGUCCCAAAGUCAUGGUUAAGUGGGAAACGAUGUGGGAAGGCACAGACAGCCAGGAUGUUGGCUUAGAAGCAGCCAUCAUUUAAAGAAAGCGUAAUAGCUCACUGGUCGAGUCGGCCUGCGCGGAAGAUGUAACGGGGCUAAACCAUGCACCGAAGCUGCGGCAGCGACACUAUGUGUUGUUGGGUAGGGGAGCGUUCUGUAAGCCUGCGAAGGUGACCUGUGAGGGUUGCUGGAGGUAUCAGAAGUGCGAAUGCUGACAUAAGUAACGAUAAAGCGGGUGAAAAGCCCGCUCGCCGGAAGACCAAGGGUUCCUGUCCAACGUUAAUCGGGGCAGGGUGAGUCGACCCCUAAGGCGAGGCCGAAAGGCGUAGUCGAUGGGAAACAGGUUAAUAUUCCUGUACUUGGUGUUACUGCGAAGGGGGACGGAGAAGGCUAUGUUAGCCGGGCGACGGUUGUCCCGGUUUAAGCAUGUAGGCUGGUUGUCCAGGCAAAUCCGGAUAAUCAAGGCUGAGGUGUGAUGACGAGGCACUACGGUGCUGAAGUAACAAAUGCCCUGCUUCCAGGAAAAGCCUCUAAGCAUCAGGUAACAUUAAAUCGUACCCCAAACCGACACAGGUGGUCAGGUAGAGAAUACCAAGGCGCUUGAGAGAACUCGGGUGAAGGAACUAGGCAAAAUGGUGCCGUAACUUCGGGAGAAGGCACGCUGGUGUGUAGGUGAAGCCCCUGCGGGUGGAGCUGAGACCAGUCGAAGAUACCAGCUGGCUGCAACUGUUUAUUAAAAACACAGCACUGUGCAAACACGAAAGUGGACGUAUACGGUGUGACGCCUGCCCGGUGCCGGAAGGUUAAUUGAUGGGGUUAUCCGUAAGGAGAAGCUCUUGAUCGAAGCCCCGGUAAACGGCGGCCGUAACUAUAACGGUCCUAAGGUAGCGAAAUUCCUUGUCGGGUAAGUUCCGACCUGCACGAAUGGCGUAAUGAUGGCCAGGCUGUCUCCACCCGAGACUCAGUGAAAUUGAACUCGCUGUGAAGAUGCAGUGUACCCGCGGCAAGACGGAAAGACCCCGUGAACCUUUACUAUAGCUUGACACUGAACAUUGAGCCUUGAUGUGUAGGAUAGGUGGGAGGCUUUGAAGCGUGGACGCCAGUCUGCGUGGAGCCAACCUUGAAAUACCACCCUUUAAUGUUUGAUGUUCUAACGUUGGCCCCUUAUCGGGGUUGCGGACAGUGUCUGGUGGGUAGUUUGACUGGGGCGGUCUCCUCCCAAAGCGUAACGGAGGAGCACGAAGGUUAGCUAAUCCUGGUCGGACAUCAGGAGGUUAGUGCAAUGGCAUAAGCUAGCUUGACUGCGAGCGUGACGGCGCGAGCAGGUGCGAAAGCAGGUCAUAGUGAUCCGGUGGUUCUGAAUGGAAGGGCCAUCGCUCAACGGAUAAAAGGUACUCCGGGGAUAACAGGCUGAUACCGCCCAAGAGUUCAUAUCGACGGCGGUGUUUGGCACCUCGAUGUCGGCUCAUCACAUCCUGGGGCUGAAGUAGGUCCCAAGGGUAUGGCUGUUCGCCAUUUAAAGUGGUACGCGAGCUGGGUUUAGAACGUCGUGAGACAGUUCGGUCCCUAUCUGCCGUGGGCGCUGGAGAAUUGAGGGGGGCUGCUCCUAGUACGAGAGGACCGGAGUGGACGCAUCACUGGUGUUCGGGUUGUCAUGCCAAUGGCACUGCCCGGUAGCUAAAUGCGGAAGAGAUAAGUGCUGAAAGCAUCUAAGCACGAAACUUGCCCCGAGAUGAGUUCUCCCUGAGACUUUAAGUCUCCUGAAGGAACGUUGAAGACGACGACGUUGAUAGGCCGGGUGUGUAAGCGCAGCGAUGCGUUGAGCUAACCGGUACUAAUGAACCGUGAGGCUUAACCUU